UCCCUCGUGGCUCAUAUGGUAGAGAAUCUGUCUGCAAUGCAGGAGACCCCGGGUUCAAUCCCUGGGUUGGGAA
rnacentral:tRNA from 1 species